rnacentral:rRNA from 1 species
UACAGAGGUCUCAAGCGUUGUUCGGAUUCAUUGGGCGUAAAGGGUGCGUAGGUGGCAGGGUAAGUCGGGUGUGAAAUCCCGGGGCUCAACCCCGGAACUGCACUCGAUACUGCCUUGCUCGAGUACUGGAGAGGAGACUGGAAUUUACGGUGUAGCAGUGAAAUGCGUAGAUAUCGUAAGGAAGACCAGUGACGAAGGCGAGUCUCUGGACAGUUACUGACACUGAGGCACGAAGGCCAGGGGAGCAAACGGG